AUUCGUUCAUUCAUUCAACGAAGAAUUGACUCAGACUUCUCCGCUUCGUCUUCCUUCAAAGCAACGGAGCAAACCGCGGUAACAUCAAUUUUGAUUCUCCUUUGCCUCCACAUCUACGUCUCAUAAAGUUCAUGUGCUUAAUCAUACCCCAAACGACAUGAAUCUGUUCCCCUUCCAUAAGCCCCACAUUUAUAUAUCUCCCUUCUUCCUCGCUUCUCCCCUUCACUCUAUUCACGCAAACCAAAUUUACAGAGAAAACGAUGACAUCGAGAAUGAGGAAAUCAACCGGUAUGGAGCUUCUUCUUAAAGAUGAUCAUUUUAUAAGAUUCUCCAACAUGCUGAACUUAUUCGGACGUCAAUCUCAGUCCAGUGCAUAUUGUACUUUGCUGCUUUGUUUCUACUUUUGUGGCAUAGAUUUAACCGAAGUAAGCGAGGGCAUGUCUACAAGUUUCUCAAACCACAAGGCUUUGUGUUGUCCUUGUGAUACUUCUCAUCGGUACAGAGAUUCAGAAGCUUAAAAGGUAACUGUUUUUCUUUAUUUUGAUAAAACUUUGGGUAUUCUGUAUUUUUUUUAUUCUUUCGUGGAAGCUCUUAUGGCUUUGGGGAAGAUACUUGCAUUGGUGGAGUCUUUCCCUGAACAACAUGAUUAGCGGAUCCACGAACAGUCGUGUCUUCAGCAAUCUUUUGGUGGUGGUCUGAGAACCGGCGCUUCAUGUAGCUGGGACCUCGCGAAGAUAUGUAAUUGGUUCGCGGUGAAGGGUUUGGUGAGAAGUUCGAGUGCAAAGCUGAGGUUCGUUUCUACUAAAGUUUUUAUUUUUAGUCAUGGGAACUUGAAAUGAAUGUGAAAGUUUGAGACUUUAUCACUGGCAGUAAUGCAAGUGGUGCUUUGAUAAGCUGAGGUUCUUGAGUGUGACAGCGCCUGCUCUGCUUGGAGAUGGUGGUGACAAAGGAAGAACUUAUAGACUGUCUGUCUUGGAACCAUUUCUCAGAGUGGUACUUCCAAAUUCUUGAAGGCUCUUAAGGAAAACAAGGAUCUUGGUGCUGACAAGACAUGUUUCUUCUUCUCAAUCCUUGGGACGAAGGUGAUUUCACCAAGACCCAUCUCCAGCAAGUGCUCAAGUUGUAUACUAAAGAGCUACCAGACAUGAACUACGCCUCAAACAGUAGGAAGCAAUCUGCUUUCCUUGAGAGAUGCGUCUCUAAAGGGAAAAUCGAGAAAAUGUAGAAAUUCAGUUUGCAAAGUACAUAUAUCCUGUUUUUUGAUCAGGUAAGUGUUUCCAUCUUAAAAGAAAAUAAUCCGAUUCCAACAGAUGGGUGUUUUGAUUGAGUUUGUGAUUCAUAGAUUGCUAAUGUAACAAAAGUGAGUGAGAAGUAAAAAAGCAGGCAAAAGAACAGGGCCAAUAAGAAAAUGUGUCUUCAUAUCAUCUCUUUUAGCAUGUUCUUUUAGGACAAUUCGUUCAACGAUCUUGAUCACUCUAUUAACACUGAAGAAAGCUAAACCGAGUGAAAAACUAUGCAUCUAAAGAUGUCAUCCAAUUUGGUAUCUCCUGCAGUAUCUUCAAAAGAAAUGAUGGCAACUGAGGCUUCCCUCCCAAAACCUCAAACUUUGCUAUUGUGUCUAAAAGAGAGAGCACACCAACGCAGCUUGCAUAAUUGGAGUGGAUGGAUACUACAAAAAUAAAUGCAGAUCCACUAAGAGACUACUAUGUCUACUCUAUUUUUUUUCAUGCAAUUUUAAUCAAGACCAGUUAAUAUAAACAUAGUUUUCAACUUGAAGAGUGGCAGAGAGGUUGAGACAUAAUUUUCAUUACGAGGAGAUGAAAGCAUAUACCGACC